CUCCGUUGACUUGGGCAAGAAUCCCCCCUUACCCUGGUAUUUCCUCUUAGUAAUUUUCCACCCACUGACCGCUGCCCUGAUCCUUGGCUAUAAAUUCCCAAUUUGCCUUGUUGUAAUUGGAGUUAAGCCCCAUCUCUCCCCUACUACAAAACCCCAUUGUAGCCCCCUUAAGUAAGGUCUGCCCUAAUGUCUUUAACAAGUGUUAUGAAUAAUUUCCUAUUUAGCAAAAUUUUUCCUUAAAUGUCCCCAAAUGUGGCCCUAUUUGAGACUUGCUGGUCAGACUUUGUUUAAGUGUCAAUCCCUGGGCCCCCCAAAUCAGAAACUAGGGGAAUAGGGUCUGCAUUUCUGAAAGCUCAGAAUUCCUACAGGAACUCAGUUCAGUGCACUCUGCUGGGGCAUGCACCUUGGGGGAAGACAACAAGAGGCAGGAAGAGAGACUCUGUUUCCAUUUGUUAUCUUAAAAUAAGGGAGUAUGUGUUACCCGUAUUUAACACUCAGAUUGGCGGCCAAGGUGCUCCCUCUGUGAACAGGGCACCUCCACACAGCUGCCCAGGUGGCCUGGGUGGUUUGCUUCCAGCCUGAUGCUGAACACUACAGUUUACACUGGAGUUAGCGACUAGUCUUAAUUAAAAUCAUACUCGCAGCUUAAAGCAGCCUAAAAGAGACCAGCAAAGAAACCCCCAGGCUGGGGACCUGACUAAGAAUGCAAGCACAAACACAGUGAACCUUCUACUGCAUUUUGGGGUAAAAGGAUGAUAAGAACAGUCAGCCCCAAAUUAUGAAAUUUGUGAAAUUAGCAAGACAGCCAUUUGAAAUGUGACUGACAACAAAUCAGCUCAUAAUGGGAUACUCUCCGUAUACUGGAGGUGCGUGGCAGGGGUCCUUGAUCCGAAGCUUGGAGCCUGGAUCCAGAAGCUGUCCCUUCCAGCUGCAGAGCAGUGUUGUAGAAUCCACCACCCAAUCAAUCACCCAAAUGCGAGCCAAGCUCAAAACAAGAGGGAGGCCUACAUGCACUGCCUCUGGGAAGCUGUCCUCGGCCCCCAGCAAACCCUAGGCAUCCGUGCUGUGACCACCCAGUGACCAAGCUCCCCACAGCACAACGUGACCCAGGUCUGGGCCUACCUUCCCAUCCUCGCCGAUGCUGUACACGGUGUUCUCAUCGUAGCUGAACUCCACAGAGUAGACCUCCCCGCAGUGAGCCUUCCAGCUCAUAGCACACUCGUGCUGCUGCAUAUCUGAGGCAAGGAGAUGCCACUAAGAUUCCUGUCUGGCCCCUGAGGAGGCAGCUGCCCAGCACGGGAGGCACCGCUUGCCCUCUGCCCAGUGGAUGGGAGCUGUUCUAGAGGCAGAGGGCCUCCUGAAGCUGACAGGCAUCUCAGAACUGACCCCUGUCAAAGAGGGGUCACUGGGUCCUUCGGCUUGCUGAUUAUCUCCUCCAUGGAUCUAAUCUUUUAUUUAACCUAGCUUAAAUAGCAGCUUCUUUGGCUGGGUCAAAAGAGAGGCUCAGGAAUCCCUGACUGAAGCCUGAGCUCAUCUGGGGAGCCCACAAGUCUAGAGGGACCCACAAGUCCUUCCUAGUGGCCUCUGUAACUUCCCAUCAGGGCACCUAGGGGAUCUGCUAAGGAUACAGACCCCAGUCCCAUCCAAGACUCUCCAACCCUGAGUCUCCUGGGCAGGCCUGGCAUAGGGAGCGUUACACAAUAUGGCAGAUGACUCCAGUGCAGACGUUCUGAUGCUUCUACAGGGAAAGUGACCCAGCUGCACCAAGGACAGGAUGGCAUUUCUCUGGUGUGUCAUCCUGGCUGUCACUCAGGCCACCAGGACUGUUUGAACAUCUCAAAACCGAAGGACCACUAAGCCCCAGCACUCCCACAUUCACUGGCACUGACCAUCUGCAAGGUGAAUGACCACGGAGGUUCUGAGAACAGCAGACUCUGACCAAAGUUAAGCUCUAUUAGGAGCAUCUUGAAUCAGGGUUUUGUGAAGGCAAAAAUGCAACUCCCUUCUCUAGGACAUUUAAGGAAGGGACCAGGACCGCCAGGAGCACC